CUGAUCUACCAGUACAAAAGCUGGUAUAAACCCAUAAGACGAGAAGACCCUGCGGAGCUUUUAAGUACCGCGCUACAUAAAAUCAAAACGAACCCUACAAGGAUUACCAUUAGCCAGAUAGCGUUACACUUUAAGUUGGGGCAACUGCGGAGAAAAACAAAACCUCCAUGAAAACAGGCUAAAAGCCACUACGAUACAUACAAGUAAACUAGUAUAUAAAUUGACCCAGCAUUGCUGAUCACCGAACCAAGUUACCCCAGGGAUAACAGCGCCAUCCCCCUCAAGAGUCCAUAUCGCCAGGGGGGCUUACGACCUCGAUGUUGGAUCAGGACACCCAGAUGGUGUAGCCGCUAUCAAUGGUUCGUUUGUUCAACGAUUAAUGUCCUACGUGAU
rnacentral:rRNA from 1 species